rnacentral:rRNA from 1 species
ACACACGUGCUACAAUGGUCGGUACAGAGGGUUGCCAAGCCGCGAGGUGGAGCUAAUCCCAGAAAACCGAUCGUAGUCCGGAUCGCAGUCUGCAACUCGACUGCGUGAAGUCGGAAUCGCUAGUAAUCGCGGAUCAGCAUGCCGCGGUGAAUACGUUCCCAGGCCUUGUACACACCGCCCGUCACGUCAUGAAAGUCGGUAACACCCGAAGCCGGUGGCCCAACCCGUA